rnacentral:rRNA from 1 species
GACGAACGCUGGCGGCGUGCCUAAUACAUGCAAGUUGAGCGCUGAAGGUUGGUACUUGUACCAACUGGAUGAGCAGCGCACGGGUGAGUAACGCGUGGGGAAUCUGCCUUUGAGCGGGGGACAACAUUUGGAAACGAAUGCUAAUACCGCAUAAAAACUUUAAACACAAGUUUUAAGUUUGAAAGAUGCAAUUGCAUCACUCAAAGAUGAUCCCGCGUUGUAUUAGCUAGUUGGUGAGGUAAAGGCUCACCAAGGCGAUGAUACAUAGCCGACCUGAGAGGGUGAUCGGCCACAUUGGGACUGAGACACGGCCCAAACUCCUACGGGAGGCAGCAGUAGGGAAUCUUCGGCAAGAGACGAAAGUCUGACCGAGCAACGCCGCGUGAGUGAAGAAGGUUUUCGGAUCGUAAAAAUCUGUUGGUAGAGAAGAACGUUGGUGAGAGUGGAAAGCUCAUCAAGUGACGGUAACUACCCAGAAAGGGACGGCUAACUACGUG